rnacentral:rRNA from 1 species
CAGCAGCCACGGUAAUACGAAGGGGGCUAGCGUUGUUCGGAAUCACUGGGCGUAAAGCGCACGUAGGCGGACUUUUAAGUCAGGGGUGAAAUCCCAAGGCUCAACCUUGGAACUGCCUUUGAUACUGGAAGUCUUGAGUUCGGGAGAGGUGAGUGGAACUGCGAGUGUAGAGGUGAAAUUCGUAGAUAUUCGCAAGAACACCAGUGGCGAAGGCGGCUCACUGGCCCGAUACUGACGCUGAGGUGCGAAAGCGUGGGGAGCAAACAGGAUUAGAUACCCGAGUAGUCCCUGUCUCUUAUAC